CCUACGGGAGGCAGCAGUGGGGAAUAUUGGACAAUGGGCGAAAGCCUGAUCCAGCAAUUCCGCGUGUGUGAAGAAGGCCUUCGGGUUGUAAAGCACUUUAGUGGGGGAAGAAACAGCUUGGCCACACCAAGCCUUGACGGUACCCCAAGAAUAAGCACCGGCUAACUCUGUGCCAGCAGCCGCGGUAAUACAGAGGGUGCAAGCGUUAAUCGGAUUUACUGGGCGUAAAGGGUGCGUAGGUGGCUAUUUAAGUCGGAUGUGAAAGCCCGGGGCUCAACCUCGGAAUUGCAUUCGAUACUGAGUGGCUAGAGUUCGGUAGAGGGCGGCGGAAUUUCCGGUGUAGCGGUGAAAUGCGUAGAUAUCGGAAGGAACAUCAAUGGCGAAGGCAGCCGCCUGGGCCUGGACUGACACUGAGGCACGAAAGCGUGGGUAGCAAACAGGAUUAGAUACCCUGGUAGUCCACGCCGUAAACGAUGAGAACUUGACGUUGGUUCGUUUUACGAAUCGGNGUCGCNGCUACGACGAUAAGUUACUCCGUCCGUCGGGUAGGUACGGCCGGCGACGGUAGUAACGUAACUAGAGUAGUAGACGUGUAGACGAGCGACGACGACGACGACGGAGGGAGGAG
rnacentral:rRNA from 1 species